rnacentral:rRNA from 1 species
UACGUAGGGCGCAAGCGUUGUCCGGAAUCAUUGGGCGUAAAGAGCUCGUAGGUGGUCUGUUACGUCUGCUGUGAAAUCCUAGGGCUUAACCCUGGGCCUGCAGUGGAUACGGGCAGACUAGAGGUAGGUAGGGGAGAAUGGAAUUCCCGGUGUAGCGGUGAAAUGCGCAGAUAUCGGAGGAGACGUGCGAGUCGGUCGAGCGGCCCUUGACCUGACUA